UACGUAGGGCGCAAGCGUUGUCCGGAAUUAUUGGGCGUAAAGAGCUCGUAGGCGGUUUGUCACGUCGGAUGUGAAAGCCCGGGGCUUAACCCCGGGUCUGCAUUCGAUACGGGCAGACUAGAGUGUGGUAGGGGAGAUCGAAUUCCUGGUGUAGCGGUGAAAUGCGCAGAUAUCAGGAGGAACACCGGUGGCGAAGGCGGAUCUCUGGGCCAUUACUGACGCUGAGGAGCGAAAGCGUGGGGAGCGAACAGG
rnacentral:rRNA from 1 species